AGAGUUUGAUCCUGGCUCAGAACGAACGCUGGCGGCAGGCUUAACACAUGCAAGUCGAGCGCCCCGCAAGGGGAGCGGCAGACGGGUGAGUAACACGUGGGAAUCUACCCAGCUCUACGGAAUAACUCAGGGAAACUUGUGCUAAUACCGUAUACGUCCGAGAGGAGAAAGAUUUAUCGGAGUUGGAUGAGCCCGCGUCG
rnacentral:rRNA from 1 species